CCCCUCCCCGCUGCUGUGGCCACCCCAACUCCCAGCAAACACUCACAGGCCAGUUGUCCCCUCUCCCCUCCCCCGCCACCACGCGGCUCUGGGACCCCAGAGCCUCCCUCCCUCUGCUCAUUCCAGCUUUGCCCCAAACUACUUUGGACCCCACGUGGACACACCAGCCUCCUCCCCAAGCGUCUGAGCGUGAUCUAGAGGUUCCUAGGUGGGAGGCAUGAAAAGACACCAGGCAGGGUGCUGGGGUUGGCAGCCUGAGUCUCUGGAUCUCCCACCAGCCAAUCCAGGCCCGCUGGUGGAGGUGGAAUGGGAUUCAGCUCACCCAGUCUGCUCUGAAGGAAGACGGGAGUGCGUGUUGGGGAGGCAGCUCACAAGCACCCCCACACACAAUGGCUUUAGGACUCAGGCAAGUACUCACACUCUUGCAUUUAUGGAUGACUUUGUACUUGCCAAAGCACUUAGAAGUAAAUAAUAAUAAAAAUAUUUGAUAUGUGUAAA